rnacentral:rRNA from 1 species
CUACGUGCCAGCAGCCGCGGUAAUACGUAGGUGGCAAGCGUUGUCCGGAAUUAUUGGGCGUAAAGGGCUCGCAGGCGGUUUCUUAAGUCUGAUGUGAAAGCCCCCGGCUCAACCGGGGAGGGUCAUUGGAAACUGGGGAACUUGAGUGCAGAAGAGGAGAGUGGAAUUCCACGUGUAGCGGUGAAAUGCGUAGAGAUGUGGAGGAACACCAGUGGCGAAGGCGACUCUCUGGUCUGUAACUGACGCUGAGGAGCGAAAGCGUGGGGAGCGAACAGGAUUAGAUACCCUGGUAGUCCACGCCGUAAACGAUGAGUGCUAAGUGUUAGGGGGUUUCCGCCCCUUAGUGCUGCAGCUAACGCAUUAAGCACUCCGCCUGGGGAGUACGGUCGCAAGACUGAAACUCAAAGGAAUUGACGGGGGCCCGCACAAGCGGUGGAGCAUGUGGUUUAAUUCGAAGCAACGCGAAGAACCUUACCAGGUCUUGACAUCCUCUGACAAUCCUAGAGAUAGGACGUCCCCUUCGGGGGCAGAGUGACAGGUGGUGCAUGGUUGUCGUCAGCUCGUGUCGUGAGAUGUUGGGUUAAGUCCCGCAACGAGCGCAACCCUUGAUCUUAGUUGCCAGCAUUCAGUUGGGCACUCUAAGGUGACUGCCGGUGACAAACCGGAGGAAGGUGGGGAUGACGUCAAAUCAUCAUGCCCCUUAUGACCUGGGCUACACACGUGCUACAAUGGACAGAACAAAGGGCAGCGAAACCGCGAGGUUAAGCCAAUCCCACAAAUCUGUUCUCAGUUCGGAUCGCAGUCUGCAACUCGACUGCGUGAAGCUGGAAUCGCUAGUAAUCGC